CAACAUAAGGUGCAAGUGUGCACCGACCACAAGAACCUAGAGUAUUGGAGGACGGCACGAGUGCUCAACCAACGGCAAGUGAGAUGGGCCCAGGAGUUCUCCAAAUUUAACUUUGAGAUUAGUUACGUGCCAGGCCCAGAGAACAUUAGGGCGGACGCUCUCUCACGCAAACCUGAAUAUUUGGAGGGGAGGGGGCACCCGAAGAGAGACAUGUCAUUCCAGAAAACCGCUGGGUCUGUGGGGCGGCAUUGGUGGGACAAAGAGAACUGGUAGAGGAAACAGAGAAUGAUGAAUACGCCCAGAAUAAGCUCAGAGGUCUUAGGGGUGAUGGAGAGGAACCAGGGGGUUUCGAGGAAAGAAAUGGAGCUUUGUAUUACAAAGGGGCACUGUAUAUCCCUGAAGGAGAGUUAAGGGGGAGGGUACUCAAGCAGUUGCACGACAGCCCUACGGCGGGGCAUUUUGGACAACACAAAACCAUGUGGUUGGUCACCAGGGAAUUUUGGUGGCCUAAGGUGAGGGAAGAUGUACGUGAGUAUGUAAGAGGGUGCGAGCAAUGCCAGCGAGCCAAAGGGGAAAGGCGGGCGCCGGCGGGGCUAUUAGAACCCUUACCAACCCCAGAACGACCUUGGGAGGCAGUGUCGAUAGAUUUUAUGACUGAUCUGCCGAAGUCCAAAGGGAAAACAGCCAUCAUGGUGGUGGUAGACCUACUAACAAAGAUGUGCCACUUUGUAGCUUGCUCGCAUGCAGUCACGGCGGAAGAGACAGCGAAGUUAUUUGUAGAAAACAUUUUUAGGUUGCACGGGGUGCCAUUGAGGGUGGUCUCAGACCGAGGAAAACAAUUUACUUCCAGGUUCUGGAGGAAGCUCAUGAGCUUACUGCAGGUGGAGGUCAAUUUUUCGACUGCCCGGCACCCUGAAACCAACGGGCAGGCGGAAAGAGCAAACGGUGUCCUCCAGCAAUACCUGAGGUGUUAUGUCAAUGACAGAGAGAAUGACUGGGUAGAAAAGUUGGCGCUGGCGGAAUUUGCCUACAACAAUGCCGAGAAUGUGUCCACAGGGAUGAGCCCCUUCUUGGCUAAUUAUGGGUGUCAUCCCAGGGCUUUCCCAGGGGGAGAGGGGAGAGAUGGAGCGUCCCGGCAGCCGAACAUUUUGUGGAAGAAAUGGAAGCAAUCCAUCGUCAGCUCCAACUCAACUUAGAAAGGGCGAAGGAAGAAUACAAGAGGCAGGCAGACAAGAACCGAAGGGAAGGUGAAACCAUAAGGGUGGGAGAUAGGGUGUGGCUGUCAACCCAAGGGCUGCCGUUCAAAGGAGGUUGUAAGAAAUUAAGACCCAGGAGGUUGGGUCCCUUUGAGGUCAUUCAACAGGUCAACCCAGUGGCUUUCAGGCUCCGGUUACCCAACCACAUGAAACUGCACCCAGUAUUUCACAGGUCGUUACUGUCACCGUACGAAGGGGGACGAGAAGGGCUGGCCACUCGGGGACCGGUCGUAGAAGAAAGAGAAUGCAGCAGCCAUGUGGCUGAAAUCCUCGACGCCAGGUGGAAGGGGGAUCAGGUGGAGUAUUUGGUAGCGUGGGAAGGAGAACCGGAGUCAGAAAACACUUGGGUAAUGGCUGAAGAUAUCAAUGACGAGGUAUUGAUAGAAACGUUCCAUCAAAGGUUCCCAAGGAAACCUCAGCCUGUGGAGAGGUUCCGGAGGGAAUACUUUGGGACCACUGAUGAAGGGGAGGAGUUGGAAGGAUUCCCGGACUCGGAAGGGGAAGGGGAGAUAGACUCUGAGGAGGAGGUGUACUUCGAGACCAGGAACCGCAACAGGUUGAGAGAAGUGUUCGAGACAUCGGAAGAUGAAGGAAGUUCAUUCCGGGGUUUUGCCUCCUCACCGCCCGUAGAGGAGGGGGGGGAGAGGGGGUGAAGGGGGCCCUGGAGGGGAGGUGGAUGUCAGGGAACUGCCAUCGGACGGAAGGGAGGUGAAAGGGCUCACACAGGUUGGGAGAGACGCAGCAGCUGAAGAGGGAAACAACAGGGAGGUGAAAGGGCUCACACAGGUUGGGAGAGACGCAGCAGCUGAAGAAGGAACCAGCAGGGGGAGGGGAGCUGAGCUGGAGGGAUGGCUCAGAGACACUUCCAGCGAAAACAGUGGGGAGGUUUCAGAACCUCCUGUAAGAACACCCACUCCUCGCCGGAAACUGUCACGCAGAGAUUCCAGAAGACGUGUUUCCGUUAAGGAGCUUUUAUGUUGGAAGCGAUUACGAAAGCAACCACUGUCGGAAUCUGCUAGUGACUAGAGCAGCCAUGUCUGAGGGGCUCUGUCACAGACAGAGGUUUGUGGACUUGAACAAACUCUGAGGGAAUACGAUUUUACGCACAAGCAGCUCAUCAUCCCAUCACAG